GAUGAACGCUGGCGGCGUGCCUAAUACAUGCAAGUCGAGCGAACAGAUAAGGAGCUUGCUCCUUUGACGUUAGCGGCGGACGGGUGAGUAACACGUGGAUAACCUACCUAUAAGACUGGGAUAACUUCGGGAAACCGGAGCUAAUACCGGAUAACAUAUUGAACCGCAUGGUUCAAUAGUGAAAGGCGGCUUUGCUGUCACUUAUAGAUGGAUCCGCGCCGUAUUAGCUAGUUGGUGAGGUAACGGCUUACCAAGGCAACGAUACGUAGCCGACCUGAGAGGGUGAUCGGCCACACUGGAACUGAGACACGGUCCAGACUCCUACGGGAGGCAGCAGUAGGGAAUCUUCCGCAAUGGGCGAAAGCCUGACGGAGCAACGCCGCGUGAGUGAUGAAGGUCUUCGGAUCGUAAAACUCUGUUAUCAGGGAAGAACAAAUGUGUAAGUAACUGUGCACAUCUUGACGGUACCUGAUCAGAAAGCCACGGCUAACUACGUG
rnacentral:rRNA from 1 species